rnacentral:rRNA from 1 species
GACGAACGCUGGCGGCGUGCUUAACACAUGCAAGUCGAACGGAAAGGCCCUGCUUUUGUGGGGUGCUCGAGUGGCGAACGGGUGAGUAACACGUGAGUAACCUGCCCUUGACUUUGGGAUAACUUCAGGAAACUGGGGCUAAUACCGGAUAGGAGCUCCUGCUGCAUGGUGGGGGUUGGAAAGUUUCGGCGGUUGGGGAUGGACUCGCGGCUUAUCAGCUUGUUGGUGGGGUAGUGGCUUACCAAGGCUUUGACGGGUAGCCGGCCUGAGAGGGUGACCGGCCACAUUGGGACUGAGAUACGGCCCAGACUCGUACGGGAGGCAGCAGUGGGGAAUAUUGCACAAUGGGCGGAAGCCUGAUGCAGCAACGCCGCGUGCGGGAUAACGGCCUUCGGGUUGUAAACCGCUUUCGCCUGUGACGAAGCGUGAGUGACGGUAAUGGGUAAAGAAGCACCGGCUAACUACGUG